rnacentral:lncRNA from 1 species
CAAGACACUUUGGAUCUGUUUUUGAUCCACUCUAGAAUUUCAAGAGCAGGUCAAAACAGCCCCUAGUGGGUAUUUUCUUAUAUUUGGGUCCCUUUUGGGCCCUAAUUAUGUAAUAUCUAUCCAAACUAUAAAUGCUUGGUAGCUAGGCUUAUUUUCAUAGUUCUUGAUGAUAAUUUCACAUAAUGUAUUCAUGAGACUCCAUGGGAGUGUUUGAGUGCUUAGAAACACAUUUAUUGAUCCUUG